ACUCCUACGGGAGGCAGCAGUGGGGAAUAUUGCACAAUGGGGGAAACCCUGAUGCAGCCAUGCCGCGUGUGUGAAGAAGGCCUUCGGGUUGUAAAGCACUUUCAGUAGGGAGGAAGGUAGUGUAGUUAACACCUGCAUUAUUUGACGUUACCUACAGAAGAAGCACCGGCUAACUCCGUGCCAGCAGCCGCGGUAAUACGGAGGGUGCGAGCGUUAAUCGGAAUUACUGGGCGUAAAGCGCAUGCAGGCGGCCUGUUAAGUCAGAUGUGAAAGCCCGGGGCUUAACCUCGGAAUUGCAUUUGAAACUGGCAGGCUAGAGUCUUGUAGAGGGGUUAGAAUUUCAGGUGUAGCGGUGAAAUGCGUAGAGAUCUGAAGGAAUACCAGUGGCGAAGGCGGCCCCCUGGACAAAGCUGACGCUCAGAUGCGAAAGCGUGGGAGCAAACAGGAUUAGAUACCCCUGGUAGCGACUGA
rnacentral:rRNA from 1 species